rnacentral:rRNA from 1 species
GAGUGUCAAGCAGGCAGAUCAAUUUUCUUGCCACGAAUACAUUAGCAUGGGAUAAUGGAAUAGGACCCUGUCCUCCUAUCUUCAGUUGGUUUAGCUGGCGAGGAUCAGGUAAUGAUUAAUAG